rnacentral:rRNA from 1 species
AGAGUUUGAUCCUGGCUCAGAGCGAACGCUGGCGGCAGGCUUAACACAUGCAAGUCGAACGGUAACAGGAAGAAGCUUGCUUCUUUGCUGACGAGUGGCGGACGGGUGAGUAAUGUCUGGGAAACUGCCUGAUGGAGGGGGAUAACUACUGGAAACGGUAGCUAAUACCGCAUAACGUCGCAAGACCAAAGAGGGGGACCUUCGGGCCUCUUGCCAUCGGAUGUGCCCAGAUGGGAUUAGCUAGUAGGUGGGGUAACGGCUCACCUAGGCGACGAUCCCUAGCUGGUCUGAGAGGAUGACCAGCCACACUGGAACUGAGACACGGUCCAGACUCCUACGGGAGGCAGCAGAAGGGCGAAUU